GGAUGUGAGGGUGAUCUGGCUGCAACAUCUGUCGCCCCGUUGAUCGCCAGGGUUAAUUCAGCUGAUUUGGCUGGCUAGGCGGGUGUCCCUUUCCUCCCUCACCCCUCCAUGUGCAUCCCUCCUGGAACUGCAUGCUUGGUCGAAGAGGAUGACCAUCCCCAAUAGAAGACCAGUCUUUGGUCAAGGGUAUACGAGUAUCUGCGCUGCCUUGCUAGAACUCCCAAACAGGUCCUCAAAAUAGAUGCUCGAUAAAUAGUUGUAGAUUGAAAAAGAAAGUUGUAGAUUGCAAAAGCAUCCGCCAAUGCUUGUUACCAUGUGGAAUCCCA
rnacentral:snRNA from 1 species